rnacentral:misc_RNA from 1 species
UUUCCGUAAGUGAACCUGCGGAAGGAUCAUUAUUGUAUAGCCGAGGUGCGAGGGCUGUCGCUGACCCGAAAGGUCGUGCACGCCCGAGUGCCCUCACACACAUCCAUCUCACCCCUAUGUGCACCACCGCGUGGGUCCCCCUUUGGCUUGUUCGGAGGGGGGCUUACGUUUUCACACAAACUUUGUAUGCAGUGUAGAAUGUAUUUUUUGUUUUUGCGAUCACGCAAUCAAUACAACUUUCAACAACGGAUCUCUUGGCUCUC